rnacentral:rRNA from 1 species
AAAUUGAAGAGUUUGAUCAUGGCUCAGAUUGAACGCUGGCGGCAGGCCUAACACAUGCAAGUCGAACGGUAACAGGAAGCAGCUUGCUGCUUUGCUGACGAGUGGCGGACGGGUGAGUAAUGUCUGGGAAACUGCCUGAUGGAGGGGGAUAACUACUGGAAACGGUGGCUAAUACCGCAUAACGUCGCAAGACCAAAGAGGGGGACCUUCGGGCCUCUUGCCAUCAGAUGUGCCCAGAUGGGAUUAGCUAGUUGGUGAGGUAACGGCUCACCAAGGCGACGAUCCCUAGCUGGUCUGAGAGGAUGACCAGCCACACUGGAACUGAGACACGGUCCAGACUCCUACGGGAGGCAGCAGUGGGGAAUAUUGCACAAUGGGCGCAAGCCUGAUGCAGCCAUGCCGCGUGUAUGAAGAAGGCCU